UUGUAGCUACUCAUAUGCUGCUUAUGAGAGAAAUAUGUACAGUUCAAGAUUAUUUUCGAUAGUUUUGGCAGACUUCCAUGUGCUACUAUCACACAAGACUCAAUUCUUCUUUUUCUUUUGUUUCAAAAUGUUUUAUUAUUAUUUUACUUUUUAUACACAUAGGUAUUUAUUUUUCAUGAACGUGACAGAAUACCUUAGUUUCUAAAAAGCUGUAGUAUUUUUGAAGUUUUUUAUUAUGGAAUAAUUACUUCAUGUUUUCUACUUUUGAGUGUCAAAUAAUUUGACGUCUGUGGCAACCGAAUGCGCGUUAGUGCCUGCCUCAGCGCGACCAAUGUAUGUGAUAAAAGUUAGCUGUAGUAAAAUUGAACCGUGGCAGAUAUCACAAUAAAUUAAAUCGUUAUGUAACAAAUAAAUCAAGACCACACGCAUACCAGCAAUAGCAAGAUCUCCGUGUCAUUGUGGGAUAUUUAUCAUCACAAUCGCCACGGCGUUCCAAAAUACGAUAAAGUUAAUUUAAAUAAAUAACCGAUCCGUCAAAAUUCCAGUUUCACCAUGGAAAUUUACGUUGAGCUGGGAGUGGAUGUGGUAAGGAAAACGAACUGGGGAUGGGAAAUUUAUCAAAUCCUGCUCAGAUUCCGAACUUUCUUCCGGCACAGAGGCCACCGGUUCCUCCCCGGGCCAAUCGCAUUCGUCUAAAUGUGACUAAUUUCGAAUAAAGACGGUUUAAACUUAGAACUCAUCAUUUCUUCGUCACGUCGUUCUAUUUUCGAGUGAAAAACUGCUGGUGUUAAUGUGUGGUCGACGCUGAUGACCUGUGUUUGAACAACAAUACAUUUGCAGUUCGUGAAUUGCACAGAGUUCUGGGUGGGCUGACAGAUCUGGCUGCCUGCCAGCGUCGAGGUGCGAGCUUGUUAAUUGAGAGAUUGCUAUUUGGUCAACAAUAUUUUCCAAAGGACAAACUUAAUCUGGCGAUGUAUAAAUAUUGUCGCGUCUGCAACUUAUGAUUAAAGCGCGACAUCUGCUCUGCCAGGAAUUUGGACUGCUGAGGGGUCCUUUUUUUCUGCGACACUGCGCUCCAAGACGACGAAUAAAUUAUGCCGCACGGACAAUUACAAACACAAUUAAAAUUAACUACUUCAAGCCACAAACUUUUACACAAAUAAUUUCGCAAACAUUGGCACUUUUUUCGAGGGUUCGUCCAAUAGAUAAUAAAAAAUAGUCGCAUUAUUUAGACCAGUCAAGUAACAAAAGAUCUGAAACUAUUUUAAAUUAAUUUAUUUGCGAAAAGUGUUUGAUCAAGCUCCGAAAAAAACACAAAAAUCGUUUUCGGAGAACACAAAAACCCUCAAAUCUUGAGUAAAGUGUAAAUAACAUCUCUAUUUAAGUAUUUGUGUUAUAAGAGGAUGUUCAAUAAACGUCAACUAUUUUUCCCAA